AAAGAAAGAAAGAAAGAAAGGUUCUGUGUUUAUUUGGGAAGGGAAAUUGUAUGGACCAGAGAUGCAUCUGAGGAAUGCAGUCAGAUGUUUAACUGAAAUGCACAGGUGCUGUAAAUGGGAAAAUUAAAUCUCUUCCCCGCACCCUCCACCCCGGCAGAGACACGCACUCAUACAAGGACACAAAAAGGAAGAAUUAUUUGGAAGCACACGCCAGCUAAAGGAAUACCUGAUUAACCUUUCACUGACUCCUGGGAUCACGUGAUACAAAGCUUGCCUUCCUCCUAGAGUGAUGGCUUUAGAAGAAGAUGUUAAAUUUAACCUCUGGUGCAAUGAUAAAUUGACAAUAAAAAAUUCAAUGGCUUGGUAAUUAC